CGGCGUGGAUGAGGCAUGCAAGUCGAACGAAACCUUCGGGUUUAGUGGCGGAAGGGUUAGUAAUACAUGGGUAACCUACCUUUAACUCUGGGAUAACGGUUGGAAACGACCGCUAAUACCGGAUAGGGUGAGAAGUAGACAUCUACUUAUUAUUAAAGUGGGGGAUCGUAAGACCUCGCGGUUAAUGAGGGGCCCAUGGGAUAUCAGCUAGUUGGUGUGGUAAUGGCGCACCAAGGCUAAGACGUCUAGGCGGAUUGAGAGAUUGACCGCCAACCCUGGGACUGAA
rnacentral:rRNA from 1 species